rnacentral:rRNA from 1 species
GCCGAACGCUGGCGGCGUGCUUAACACAUGCAAGUCGAACGAAGUGGCGAACGGGUGAGUAACGCGUAAUCAACCUGCCCUUCAGAGGGGGACAACUGUUGGAAACGACUGCUACUACCGCAUACUCAGGGAGGGGAUUGCGUGUGAUUAGGUAGUUGGAGGGGUACCGGCCCACCAAGGCGAGGAUCAGUAGCCGGCCUGAUGGGAUGAACGGCCACAUGGGGACUGAUGCAAGGCCCAGACUCCUACGGGAGGCAGCAGGGGGGAAUCGUCCGGAAUGGACGAAAGUCUGACGGAGCAACGCCGCGUGAGUGAUGACGGCCUUCGGGUUGUAAAGCUCUGUUAAUCGGGACGCGGUACCGGAAUAGAAAGCCACGGCUAACUACGUGCCAGCAGCCGCGGUAAUAC